rnacentral:misc_RNA from 1 species
AAAAGUCCAGAGGUAUUCCGAAUUAUUAGUUUAGAACAGGAAAAUGGCGGCAGAUGGAACAGAGGGAUGCAUGUAUACGUUCAAUUUGAAACCCAGCUGUAUCAACGCUGUCAAGUGGUCAAGUGAUGGGCGUGUGGCCAUAGCAGCAAACGAAUGUGUACUUCUCAUGGAACUCGAUUAUUCCCCACACCAGCUAGUGUCAUCAUCAAGCUGCCACAUCAAGUCCAUACCAGCAUGGAAAGAACAACACAACAUGUCUGGUUUGGAUGAAGUGCAAUUCAGAGAUCUCCAAGAAAACACAAAAUCUCCAGAAUUAAAGCAAGAGCUUGCUCUUGACCACACACUAUGUCCACUAGUGAAGUCAGCCUCAACGCACGCUGGGUAUCGGACAAUCUGCUGGUCACCUGUCGGAGGAGACAGAUUAGGGAGGUGUAUCUUGGCAACUCUGUCACAUGAUCACAGACUGUUGUUGUAUAGCACACAGGACACCCAGUCAACUUGGAGUCUGGUAGCUGACCUGUCUAAAUUGUACCUAGAGAAUUCUGAGUGGAAAAAUACAGAUCGUACUGACAUCAACUACUUGAAAACCAAGAUGUACAGUCUUUCAGCUCUAGAAAUGGCUUGGACCACAACAUGUACCGAGAGGAAUGCCAAUUGCUCAACAGGGACAGCCAUUUUAUCUGUUGCCAUGAGGAACGGUGAUAUUGUGCUUUGGUUGAUCAAGUUUCCAUGCCAGUCCCAGGAGGAUUGCAAGCUUCUGAAGAAAAUGACCUUCACCUCAAAUGCUCCAUCUGCAGUGGCAUGGUCACAGACUCCAGUUACUAUGGCAACAGGUACAGCUGUAGAUUUUAUGGCUGUGGGAUACCAGAAUGGAAGGGUAGACCUAACAUCUGUUAACUUAGAGGACGGCAGUAUUGUAUCAUCGCUGUCCCUCCAUACUGAUGAAGAUUUACUGACAGCCAGUUGCCUUUAUAUGAAAAUGAUUUCACAGGACCAACUUCUGGUGCUGUUUGCUAAGGAGUGUUUUCUGAUGGCAUAUGUAGUGAAAAUCAGUGACGGCAGCUUGCGUUUACUUCAUAACAGUCAUGUGAUGGUGGCCACCACGCUGUAUAUUACAGCUGUGUGUUACAAAGAGGAGGUGUUACUCCUGUCUACCUGUGAUGGUCUGCUCUUCAAGGGAAGCGUCAGUGUCACAAAUAAAGGUGUGUCUAUAAGUCUCAAGCAAUGGAAUACAGACUUUACACGCAGCACAGAAAACAAUAGUGGGCAGUGUUACGGUGUUGACUUAUCAGACAAUUGUAUGCUGAUGUGUGCCCUCAUGUCAUCAUCAAGAAAGGAUUUUGGAACUUUUAAGGCGAAAAUGUUCAAGAAACCUAUGAACCUGCAUGUUCAGCCCAUUAUUCACGAAUCUGAUGAACUGGAGGAACUAAAGAAGAAAGUGGAGAGGAUGAUUAAGAAUGAAACAGCGCCCUUGACGUGGAUGGUGGACGUGAUGGAGACGUUCCGUAUACAUCUGUGGCAGGGUAAAGACUUGGCCCCUGCAAUCACUAAUUACAUCUCCAACCCCACCUCCUGGUAUACCCUGCCUCUCAAAACACUCCGAGUCCUCAGGUAUUUCUUAAUCACCAUCAAUUUACACAUACCAAGAAAUCCAGAUUCUACAGAACCAAACCAGGAAGUUGCUCUUGCGGAGAAAAAUAUACACAAAGUUAAAGACGUCAUCAUAGGAAGAUACAUUGUUGAUUCCUUAGAGGUGCUUCAGAGUCGGAGGGCGAAAAUGACCGAAAAAGAUAAGUGUGUUUGUUCAAAUAUGCUUCGCUACAUGGAACACCACCAGCAAAAAUACGAGGACACACCACUUCACGCUAGGCUGGACACAUUGAGACAAUCCCUGGGCAAAAUCGACACCAGCUCUCAAAGUUGUUGUGUUUGUGGAAAAACUGCAGCUAUUGGUGAUAACUACACACUCAGCUGUGACGAAGGGCACACGUUUGGACUGUGUUGUCAAACUCUUCAACCCUGUACGGAAACUCAAUAUAGAACAUGUAGCAACUGUAAACUACAGGCUGUAUCUCACACCGACAGAACAGGUGAGCACUGUCAAUUAACAGACAAAUAAUAACUGUAAACUACAGGCUGUAUCUCACACCGACAGAACAGGUGAGCACUGUCAAUUAACAGACAAAUAAUAACUGUAAACUACAGGCGGUAUCUCACACCGACAGAACAGGAUUACCAUGGCUGGUUGAGGCAUCAGAACACUGUACAAUAUGUGAGAGCUACUUAUUUCCGUGUUUUUGAUAAAACUCAUGC